GACGAACGCUGGCGGCGUGCCUAAUACAUGCAAGUUGAGCGCUGAAGGUUGGUACUUGUACCAACUGGAUGAGCAGCGAACGGGUGAGUAACGCGUGGGGAAUCUGCCUUUGAGCGGGGGACAACAUUUGGAAACGAAUGCUAAUACCGCAUAAAAACUUUAAACACAAGUUUUAAGUUUGAAAGAUGCAAUUGCAUCACUCAAAGAUGAUCCCGCGUUGUAUUGGCUAGUUGGUGAGGUAAAGGCUCACCAAGGCGAUGAUACAUAGCCGACCUGAGAGGGUGAUCGGCCACCUUGGGACUGAGAAACGGCCCAAACUCCUACGGGAGGCAGCAGGAGGGAAUCUUCGGCAAUGGACGAAAGGCUGACCGAGCAACGCCGCGGGAGUGAAGAAGGUUUUCGGAUCGGAAAACUCUGUUGGUAGAGAAGAACGUUGGUGAGAGUGGAAAGCUCAUCAAGUGACGGUAACUACACAGAAAGGGACGGCUAACUACGUG
rnacentral:rRNA from 1 species